AGCUUAGUGGUAGAGCGCUUACCUAGCAUGUGUGAGGACCUGGGUUCAAUCCCCAG
rnacentral:tRNA from 1 species